rnacentral:sRNA from 1 species
CCCAUCCCCCACAGUCCUUGAAGGAUGAGACAAGAGUCUUCUGCCGGUCAAAUCUGACGCGCAACCAAGUCCGCUCUUGAGCUUCUGAUCUUCCCACCUCUACCUCCUGAGUGCUGGGGUUUCAGCCUCCUGCAUGGGGCCCAAAGCUGGUGGGACACUGAGCUGCCUCCAGGUGACUGACUUCUGCUGUGUGACGGGUUGAGAACCACUGAUCUAGGACAUUGCCUGGAACAAAAUGGGGCUCCAAGAAUACGACACUGGCUGUUUGAAUGAGGCCUCUGCCGUCUGAUCCUGCGUCUUCAAGCACCGGUCAGCCAACAAUACGAAGGAAAUCCCAUCCCUCUUCAGUACUUCAUACACAUCCCGCGGUUUCUGGGACACGUGUGGGGCCCUGUAGUGGCAUCUAUGGGGCGUGGGCAGGCUUGUGGUGUAGAGCACACGCUGGGCUGUUCACUUUGUAACCCGUAAUUUCAGGGGCCCAGAAAGUGCCAGGGUUUCUGCUCAACCUGAAAACGCUUUGGAGACCCUGCCCUGAACCCUUGCAAUUAGCAGCCACACGACCCUGUUCAGCAGCCCUGACCAGGGGUGCUUAGGAGGGCCAGGGAACACCCCUGGCUUGGGUCUCUGUUGAGAUCGUCCCUCCGGCUCCUGCAGUACCAGCCCAGCACAGUUCCCAGCCCCUUAUGGGUCCAGGUCCAUAUCUCAUUACAUAACCCUGAGCACUGGGGCCUGCCUUCCAAGCAAAAAUAGCUGAGCCUUUCAUGUGGCUAGGGAGUCCUAGGCUGCAGCACCACCACAGCCCAAGCCUGGCCUGUGGAGGGUUACCCUGGAGUAGCAUUCUGUCUGGGGCUCUCAAGUAGCAUGAUGGCGGCUAUGUCUGACCGGACCAGAGCUCUGGGGUUGCUAUGCAACCACCCUGGAUCUCAGUUUUCUCAUCAGAAAGCAACCUACAUUCAUUCGUUGCUCAUCUGUUUAUCGACCACCUACAUGUUCCUCCAGCUUGGAAACCAGAGCACAUUACAGCCAGGCUCUGUCUCAGUCUCUCCCUUUGAACCACGGUGGCUUUUGACCUCUGGGCAUCCUGCGAUCUGCUAUUUUUCCAUCGCGUGCUGGUGAGAGAGAGAAACAGCUAGGUGCGGUGGACAAGGGUCUUAGUUCCUAAAGCGGAUUGCAAACUUGGCCCAUGAGGCAGCGAUCUGUACCCCCCGCCUACGUAUGUGCCCGAGGGAAUGAAGACACACCCACACAAAGACAAGUGUCGGGGGCAGAUUUCUACACAGCAGACCCUGAACUGGAAGCAUCCCGGCCCUCGGCAGGAAAUUCUGCACACGUGUGGUUCCUAUUAGUAAAUUUUCAUCUCGACGUGACCACCUGACAGAACAACUUAAGAGGGGAGAGUUUUUGUUCUGCCUCAUGAUCUCCAAAGCUUCAGUGCAGAUUGUCGGGGUAGAUGGAGUUUGUGGCAAUGACAAACUGUUUACCUCCCAGACAGGAAGUGAACAGGAACACAGAAUGGGACAAGAUAGAGCCUUGAAGACACCAAGUGUCUCACCAUCCCAAAAGCUCGACCUGUCAUCUACUCCCAGCUCACCCACGAGCUCAUCCCUUGGGAUCUAAUGGCCUCUGGAGAUGACCUCAGAGCCAAUAAGAGGUGGAGUUUCACCUGCCUCCUUAGACAUUUGUCAGUCUAAUCAAGGUGACAUCAAGACCAGCUAUGACAAGCUGGAGAUACAUUGAUUGUUUUUUUUGUGGCCAUCUUGAGGGGAAGGAAGCCAGGGUAGGAACUCAAGCAGGAACAUGGCUUGCUGGCUUGUUUUCAGGCCGGUGCUUAACUGGAUUUCUCACACAGCCUAGGGAAUGGUGCUGCCCACAGUGGGCUGGGCUCCUCUAUAUCAAUCAACAAGACAAUCCCUGAUUCUUCUCAGGGGAUAGACCGUGUCCAGUUCACAGAGCUAAAUAGAACACUAGAGCUCAAGGAUCUGAGCACUUACCCACAAGGGUCAGGGUUCAUCCACAGUGAUGCAGAAAGCGGGUGUGGUGGCACAUGUCUAUA